rnacentral:lncRNA from 1 species
CAAAGUUAACCCUGGUUUAACGUCUUUAAAUAGCUUCAAAAGUGUUGUUCAAUUUUGGGCAUUCAGAAACAUCCUUGCAUGGACCUUUGAUGUACUUUGUACGGUUCCGUUUGACUGUACUUAUGGGAUUUGGAGCUUAAAGUAACAAAACCUUUAGACGACUUCUUAUUGAGAAACGCUUGACUUUUGUUAACCAGUUUUGGGCGAAGUUGUCUUCAAUAUGCUGCAGUUUACAAGAAAGCAUCUGCUUUUAUGUCUUGUCAAUAUGGUAAUGCACUGCAUUGUGUCGAGUACUAUAGAAUAUCCCGAAAGCCCAGAGGACUCCGAAGACAGCCAUGCAUCACAAAGAAGGCAAGAAGAAAACCGACAUGAUUCAUAUUCCACGAUUACACGACUUUUCUAUCUGUUAAACGAUUUUGGUUUGCUUUUAUUCGAGUUAACCAAGAUAUUCAUAAAAGUAUUAAACAAUUUUAUUAAAAUUGUUUUAUACAUCUUACAGAGGCUCUCAGACUGGUUAAAUCUCAUAAAUUAAUAACCCGGACAUCAUUAACUUAUAAUCACUUUUAUGGCUUCACAAGCAAUGAUAAAUUAACGGAAAGUUAACGACGUUUCACAAUCUCAAUGUCAUAAAUUGACCACGGAUGGUGACCAAUACUAAAUGUUGUAUGUGACAGAACUCUGGACUGAAAUGAAAUACCGAUAAUCUACAGACUUGGCAGUCGAUAGCGGGCCAGAGAUCAGGAAUCCGUUUGUACUAACUUUACAUUGGUGUGACUGCUCGUAUGGAAUAUGGGAAAGCGUUGAUAAAUACUUUGGAUAAGUAUAUUGCGUUCUAUAAACAUGGGAUAGAAGCCAGCGGUCACUCUAGUAUCAAGAGGAAACACUGUUUGAAGUACCUAAAAUUCCUUAAACUCAACAGGGUAUAUACUGGUUAAGUGUUAAUGCUACACUUCUUUCUUACAAUAUGCUCACACACAGAAUGUUAUAAAUGAUGCAAAUCACGACAUUGAAUUCUCACACUGUAACAAUCAUAAAAACGGUUUAUCACAACUUUUUUUCUCUUUUUGCUAUGGAAGUAAUUCUAUAAUACAUACUGUUAAUGUAGAACAGACACUACGUGCAAUCCAUUGAUAUUCUGCGAAUAUUUCUGUAAUAUAUUUGUAGAUCUGAUUUUUGUAUUAUUAACUAGUAUUUUCAUUGACAUAUUUUCUAUGUAUAGAAUGUUGUUCUUCCCUCGAAGGAAAAAUGAUAGUUUUAAUUAUUUGUUCGUUUUAAUAAACUAAGAAUAACAAGAGGACCAAGAUGGCCCUAUGUCGCUCACCUGAGAA